UCAGCCCAGAGCCCGACGCGGGGCUCGAACUCCCAGACCGCGAGAUCGUGACCUGGCUGAAGUCGGACGCUUAACCGACUGCGCCACCCAGGCGCCCCUCUUUUCUCUUAUUUUUAUAUUCACCCUUUCCCAAAGUGUAUUUCAGUAUGUAUGUAAUAUUUAAUUUCUAAAUAUUAGAUAUAAAGUUAAACAUUAAAUAGAAUAUUAUAAAAAGGAGACAAAGGAAGAUAAUAACAAGAAGGCUUUCCCCCCUGCAUCUAAGAGUUACUGCAGUCAAGAGCAGUGUGUCCAUCUGGUCACUAAGACUGUGGGGCAAGCCCAGCUGGCCCUCCUGCAUUGUAUGGAUGGAUGGACACGAUACCUGCUUCCUCUGACUGGAACACUCAAGACACACUUUGGAGAUGGUGGUCUGGUUCCCCUCUCACAACCAAAACGUGGAUCUUGAUCAAAAACCCUCAGUUGCCUUUUGCUUUGUCACCCUACAGAAGGUUCCUUGCUGCUGAGCUGGUUAGCGUGAGGUAAGAGAGAUGAAGUUGAUACUACUGUGAAUGGGUAAUUUAGUUUUGAAUGGGUUAAUACAGAGUUAAUCCCAUUUCAAUUCAACAGUCUUAAAAGGUUAGUAUUAGUCCAGGGACUGUUUUGAGAAUGAAGUUAAAAUUGGGUUGAAAUUGCAAAUAUAACUAUCCCACAGGUAAAAUUGUAAAAUCUUGUCUUCUCUAAGGGGUCCCACUAAAGUAAAUAAAUGAAUUAAACACAUAUAUACACACACAAAAGCAAUGGAGCGCUAAUUACACAAGAGGCACUCAUCCUUGCUUUAUUCACGCAGUAACAUCCGACAUUGGGAACUAUGUGGGCAUAGAUACAAAAUAAGGAAGAUGGCAUCAUAAACAGUUGAGUUCAUCAGGGCAGUGGUGGCAGCUCAGCCAGUGUGUGGUUUCCCUGGGACCUAUUGAGUCGAGGAAAUACUCUCCUCCCUCCACCACUUCAUGGCCAAGAUGUUUUACAACACUUGGCCUGUACUUUAAAGGUCACAGUGAUUAAAAACAUGGGUAAGACAUUCAGGGCUGAGUGACUGCUCCUGGGGCCACUUAGGAGUCUGGCAACAAGAGCGUGAGGAACAGUGAUAUGCCCUUAUCCUCUGAAGUGUGUGCAAGACAGAUCACAGACACGUGAAGGGAUCUUUCUCCCUGUGCUGAAUGGAGAAAUAACCGUUCGGCCAAAUGCUUAGAAGGCGGAACUGGAGGCACCAAAAACACCACACAGGCAGCAUCACCUCUUGGUUUCUCAUGGUCACACCGAAAAGCUACUGUUAAUAUACAAAAUAGAAAAACAUUUGUAGUGGGCCUUUUUCAAACCCAGAACACAAGUUAGGGAGGAAAAAGAAAAGCUUUCCCUAGGGUCAUAGGUCAGACUCAAGUUCUCUGUACAGUACAUGCCAUGCUGCUUCCUCACCAAUAGAUUCCCAACUAGGGUUUUUUCUCCAUGUGCCAGUUAUCAUAGGCUAGGUUUCUAAGAUCUUCUUAGUGGUCAAUAAGAAAGGGAAUUCUGAGGGGGAGGGUACCUUGCACCUUGUAUUCCUUCAUAUGGUAACAGCAGGAGGAUUUGGCAGUCAGGCGGUAGCAAUAAUCCUCAUAAUGAAAAGAAUUCAAAUCUAUGAAAUCGUCCCCUGACACUGAAAACAGGCUGUCCUCCCAGAUCUCAUGCUCCAGCCACCCUCUCUCUCGUGUGAAGCUUUAUCUCCAGAGAAGUUGAGAAGAAAAAUGGCUGCCCAGCUGAAGCACCUACCAAUCUCCAGUUUCACAGGAUGAGACUAUAGAGCCCUCACCGGAGCCCAGGCAUAAACUGUUUUUGCUAAAUUCAUUUUAAGCACAGUUUUUAUAGAAAACUGAAGGACAAACCAAGUUGAAAGAAUCACUGUUAUAAUAACUUUAAUUUAUCUUGCAUUUUACAUAAGUCUAUGAACGAUUUUAAAAAAGCACCGCCUUACCCCAUCAUGUUUUUCUGACAGUUGUUAAAGUAGGCAAUGAGUAGGUCAACAGCUUUUGAGCAUCGGCAUCUUGCAAAGAUUUCAGACCAACCAGCCACAAGCCAAAAAACUUGGCAGCUUUACUAUCUUGUAUUUAAUACAAUGAUAUAUCCACUUUGAUGGUAAACCUGUCCAGCCAAAUCUCCACAACACACUUUGAAAAUCAGUGGUGGUUAGCCAAUUAGUUAGCUUUGGCACGGAGCUGUGCUCGCUUGCCUGUGACAGCCUGGAAGCCGGUCUUGAUGCUGGCAACAGAGCAUCGAGAAUGACAAGUUUCGCACUGUAAGAAAUAGAGUCGGGUGUCCUUUUGCAGGAUUGUGUCCGGUGAUCGGCAUGUGUGACAGGUAACGUAUUCCUCUGCAGAAAAAGCAACAUACAGAAUUACCUGUUGACUGCAGUGAUUGACUGCAGUGAGCCAGAAGUUUCUUCUCUCAAACAUAUUCUACACAGAACAACGUAAGCCCAAAUGGUACCCAGACCAAGGAAAACUUUAGCUUAACUUAGAUAUUCUAGGGGUAAAGACACAAGGUGUUUGCUGUGAUACUUCAGGUACUAAAUCAUGGGCUGAAAGACUCCAAAUGUCCAAGGAGGUGUAGGGGUGCUUGCCAGAUGCCACUCCUGGAUCUGUCUACAGGAGAGCCACUCAGAACUUACUAGGUUACCUAGGUGGGAACAGACCUGCUAACUUUAAGUCAUUAGGAAGAUGAUAAAAGACAGGCCAGGCCUGAACGCAAACAGAUUUCUCUGACUCAGCCUUCAGCCUACAACCAACCAGCAGCCUUGGUCUGCUGAGCCUUAAGAAAUCCAAACCCUUCUCCCUGCUACACAGCUGCCAAGAAGUCACCUUGCUGUCCCACCUUCCCAUCAUUAUCAUUCUCCCUCAUCCCCAAAAUACUGCAGCCUGAUGAGAACAUUUCAGAGCGAGAUGAUGGAAUUAUGCACUUACUGAUAUAUCUUCUCAAAACAUUUUCUAUCUGUUUCUGUUGGAAUCUUCCUUUGAUUACAAGUUGAUUAUUACCAUCUAUAGAACCACUAUGAGAGAAAGCAAAAAUAUUUCCAUUAUUGUUUCCUGUAAGGAACCAAAGACCUUUAUACACUUGAUGAAUUUAAAAUAUAUUCAGUGGCAUAAGUUCUAGAGCAGUCCGAUACCACCUGGUUUCUCAAAAUUUAUUUUUAAGUAGUUGGUGCCUAAUGACCUACCCAUAUUUCCUAACAUUAAAUCCAAUUUCAACCAACCAAGUCUCUAGUAACCUUUAAGUCUAAAACAAAUUGAUUCUGUCUGUGAUGGCUUAUUCAUCCAACAAAGAAAAACACUUUUACUGAAUGUAUACCAUGUACUAGACAGUGAGGGGGUCUAUAAAUAUAAAAAUAGGGAGUUGUAUCUCUAAAAAUUUUAAGCACUAAAUGUUUUGAUUCAGUCACAUAGUUGAUAAAAAUAUUCUAAGAUGGGUGGUGGUAAAGGUUGUUCAACUAUGUCAACAUAUUAAAAACCAUUUGUACACUGAAUGUGUGAACUGUAUAAAGUUACCAAUAAAGAAGUACAGUUGAACUCA